rnacentral:rRNA from 1 species
GAGUUUGAUCUUGGCUCAGAACGAACGCUGGCGGCGUGGAUAAGACAUGCAAGUCGAACGGGAGAAUUGCUAGCUUGCUAAUAAUUCUCUAGCGGCGCACGGGUGAGUAACACGUGAGUAACCUGCCCCCGAGAGCGGGAUAGCCCUGGGAAACUGGGAUUAGUACCGCAUAGUAUCGAAAGAUUAAAGCAGCAAUGCGCUUGGGGAUGGGCUCGCGGCCUAUUAGUUAGUUGGUGAGGUAACGGCUCACCAAGGCGAUGACGGGUAGCCGGUCUGAGAGGAUGUCCGGCCACACUGGAACUGAGACACGGUCCAGACACCUACGGGUGGCAGCAGUCGAGAAUCAUUCACAAUGGGGGAAACCCUGAUGGUGCGACGCCGCGUGGGGGAAUGAAGGUCUUCGGAUUGUAAACCCCUGUCAUGUGGGAGCAAAUUAAAAAGAUAGUACCACAAGAGGAAGAGACGGCUAAACUCUGUGCCAGCCG